rnacentral:rRNA from 1 species
GAAAAGCCCGCUCGCCGGAAGACCAAGGGUUCCUGUCCAACGUUAAUCGGGGCAGGGUGAGUCGACCCCUAAGGCGAGGCCGAAAGGCGUAGUCGAUGGGAAACAGGUUAAUAUUCCUGUACUUGGUGUUACUGCGAAGGGGGGACGGAGAAGGCUAUGUUAGCCGGGCGACGGUUGUCCCGGUUUAAGCAUGUAGGCUGGUUAUCCAGGCAAAUCCGGAUAAUCAAGGCUGAGGUGUGAUGACGAGGCACUACGGUGCUGAAGUAACAAAUGCCCUGCUUCCAGGAAAAGCCUCUAAGCAUCAGGUAACAUCAAAUCGUACCCCAAACCGACACAGGUGGUCAGGUAGAGAAUACCAAGGCGCUUGAGAGAACUCGGGUGAAGGAACUAGGCAAAAUGGUGCCGUAACUUCGGGAGAAGGCACGCUGGUGUGUAGGUGAAGUCCCUGCGGAUGGAGCUGAGACCAGUCGAAGAUACCAGCUGGCUGCAACUGUUUAUUAAAAACACAGCACUGUGCAAACACGAAAGUGGACGUAUACGGUGUGACGCCUGCCCGGUGCCGGAAGGUUAAUUGAUGGGGUUAUCCGUAAGGAGAAGCUCUUGAUCGAAGCCCCGGUAAACGGCGGCCGUAACUAUAACGGUCCUAAGGUAGCGAAAUUCCUUGUCGGGUAAGUUCCGACCUGCACGAAUGGCGUAAUGAUGGCCAGGCUGUCUCCACCCGAGACUCAGUGAAAUUGAACUCGCUGUGAAGAUGCAGUGUACCCGCGGCAAGACGGAAAGACCCCGUGAACCUUUACUAUAGCUUGACACUGAACAUUGAGCCUUGAUGUGUAGGAUAGGUGGGAGGCUUUGAAGCGUGGACGCCAGUCUGCGUGGAGCCAACCUUGAAAUACCACCCUUUAAUGUUUGAUGUUCUAACGUUGGCCCCUGACCGGGGUUGCGGACAGUGUCUGGUGGGUAGUUUGACUGGGGCGGUCUCCUCCCAAAGCGUAACGGAGGAGCACGAAGGUUAGCUAAUCCUGGUCGGACAUCAGGAGGUUAGUGCAAUGGCAUAAGCUAGCUUGACUGCGAGCGUGACGGCGCGAGCAGGUGCGAAAGCAGGUCAUAGUGAUCCGGUGGUUCUGAAUGGAAGGGCCAUCGCUCAACGGAUAAAAGGUACUCCGGGGAUAACAGGCUGAUACCGCCCAAGAGUUCAUAUCGACGGCGGUGUUUGGCACCUCGAUGUCGGCUCAUCACAUCCUGGGGCUGAAGUAGGUCCCAAGGGUAUGGCUGUUCGCCAUUUAAAGUGGUACGCGAGCUGGGUUUAGAACGUCGUGAGACAGUUCGGUCCCUAUCUGCCGUGGGCGCUGGAGAAUUGAGGGGGGCUGCUCCUAGUACGAGAGGACCGGAGUGGACGCAUCACUGGUGUUCGGGUUGUCAUGCCAAUGGCACUGCCCGGUAGCUAAAUGCGGAAGAGAUAAGUGCUGAAAGCAUCUAAGCACGAAACUUGCCCCGAGAUGAGUUCUCCCUGAGACUAUAAGUCUCCUGAAGGAACGUUAAAGACGAUGACGUUGAUAGGCCGGGUGUGUAAGCGCAGCGAUGCGUUGAGCUAACCGGUACUAAUGAACCGUGAGGCUUAACCUU